rnacentral:rRNA from 1 species
GAUGAACGCUGGCGGCGUGCCUAAUACAUGCAAGUCGAACGCUGAAGGAGGAGCUUGCUCUUCUGGAUGAGUUGCGAACGGGUGAGUAACGCGUAGGUAACCUGCCUGGUAGCGGGGGAUAACUAUUGGAAACGAUAGCUAAUACCGCAUGACAACAGUUAUUGCAUGAUAACUGUUUAAAAGGGGCAACUGCUCCACUACCAGAUGGCCCUGCGUUGUAUUAGCUAGUUGGUGAGGUAACGGCUCACCAAGGCGACGAUACAUAGCCGACCUGAGAGGGUGAUCGGCCACACUGGGACUGAGACACGGCCCAGACUCCUACGGGAGGCAGCAGUAGGGAAUCUUCGGCAAUGGACGGAAGUCUGACCGAGCAACGCCGCGUGAGUGAAGAAGGUUUUCGGAUCGUAAAGCUCUGUUGUAAGAGAAGAACGAGGGUGAGAGUGGAAAGUUCACACUGUGACGGUAUCUUACCAGAAAGGGACGGCUAACUACGUG